AACAGGAUUAGAUACCCUGGUAGUGCAUGCCGUAAACGAUGAGUGCUAAGUGUUGGAGGGUUUCCGCCCUUCAGUGCUGCAGCUAACGCAUUAAGCACUCCGCCUGGGGAGUACGACCGCAAGGUUGAAACUCAAAGGAAUUGACGGGGGCCCGCACAAGCGGUGGAGCAUGUGGUUUAAUUCGAAGCAACGCGAAGAACCUUACCAGGUCUUGACAUCCUUUGACCACUCUAGAGAUAGAGCUUUCCCUUCGGGGACAAAGUGACAGGUGGUGCAUGGUUGUCGUCAGCUCGUGUCGUGAGAUGUUGGGUUAAGUCCCGCAACGAGCGCAACCCUUAUUAUUAGUUGCCAGCAUUCAGUUGGGCACUCUAGUGAGACUGCCGGUGAUAAACCGGAGGAAGGUGGGGAUGACGUCAAAUCAUCAUGCCCCUUAUGACCUGGGCUACACACGUGCUACAAUGGAUGGUACAACGAGUCGCAAAACCGCGAGGUUAAGCUAAUCUCUUAAAGCCAUUCUCAGUUCGGAUUGUAGGCUGCAAUUCGCCUACAUGAAGCCGGAAUCGCUAGUAAUCGCGGAUCAGAACGCCGCGGUGAAUACGUUCCCGGGCCUUGUACACACCGCCCGUCACACCACGAGAGUUUGUAACACCCAAAGUCGGUGAGGUAACCUUCGGGAGCCAGCCGCCUAAGGUGGGACAGAUAAUUGGGGUGAAGUCGUAACAAGGUAACC
rnacentral:rRNA from 1 species